rnacentral:rRNA from 1 species
UACGGUAGGGGGCUAGCGUUGUCCGGAAUCAUUGGGCGUAAAGCGCGUGUAGGCGGUCCGGUAAGUCUGCUGUGAAAGUCGGGGGCUCAACCCUCGAAUGCCGGUGGAUACUGUCGGGCUAGAGUGCGGAAGAGGCGAGUGGAAGUUCCUGGUGUAGCGGUGAAAUGACGCAGAUAUCAGGAGGAACACCUAUUGCGAAGGCAGCUCGCUGGGACGUAACUGACGCUGAGACGCGAAAGCGUGGGGAGCAAACAGG